GAUGAACGCUAGCGGCAGGCCUAACACAUGCAAGUCGAGGGGUAGAAGGAGCUUGCUCCUUUGAGACCGGCGCACGGGUGCGUAACGCGUAUGCAAUCUACCUUGUACAGGGGAAUAGCCCAGAGAAAUUUGGAUUAAUGCUCCAUAGUAUAUAACCUUCGCAUGUUGGUUAUAUUAAAGUUCCAACGGUACAAGAUGAGCAUGCGUCCCAUUAGUUAGUUGGUAAGGUAACGGCUUACCAAGACGAUGAUGGGUAGGGGUCCUGAGAGGGAGAUCCCCCACACUGGUACUGAGACACGGACCAGACUCCUACGGGAGGCAGCAGUGAGGAAUAUUGGUCAAUGGUCGCAAGACUGAACCAGCCAUGCUGCGUGCAGGAAGACGGUCCUAUGGAUUGUAAACUGCUUUUAUACAGGAAGAAACCCUCCCACGUGUGGGAGCUUGACGGUACUGUAGGAAUAAGGAUCGGCUAACUCCGUG
rnacentral:rRNA from 1 species